GACGAACGCUGGCGGCGUGCUUAACACAUGCAAGUCGAACGGAAAGUCCCUGCUUUUGUGGGGUGCUCUAGUUGCGAACUGGUGAGUAACACUUGAGUAACCUGCCCUUGACUUUGGGAUAACUUCAUGAAACUGGGGCUAAUACCGGAUAGGAGCUCCUGCUUCAUGGUGGGGGUUGGAAAGUUUCGGCGGUUGGGGAUGUACUCGCGGCUUAUCAGCUUGUUGGUGGGGUAGUGGCUUACCAAGGCUUUGACGGGUAGCCGGCCUGAGAGGGUGACCGGCAACAUUGGGACUGAGAUACGGCCAAGACUCAGACGGGAGGCAGAAGUGGGGAAUAUUGAAAAAUGGGCGGAAGCCUGAUGCAGCAACGCCGCGUGCGGGAUGACGGCCUUCGGGUUGUAAACCGCUAUCGCCUGUGACGAAGAGUGAGAGAAGGGAAUGGGUAAAGAAGCACCGGCUAAAUACGUG
rnacentral:rRNA from 1 species